rnacentral:misc_RNA from 1 species
GUGAAUUGUUCUCUGUGCUCCAAACUUCUUUUAUUUGUCCCUGUGUUUAUGCUCAUAACCAUUCAUUUCCCUCUUUUCCCACUGACUUAGCCUCUGGGGUUGUAAAGAAGUUACUCGUUUAUUUUUGUGUAUGUGUGGGGUUUUGUCUUUUGUUUUCUGAGAAUAAAGUAUAUGAGAUCAUGGAAAAAAUCAGAAAACGAGGAAAAUCAUAAAUUCAUUACCAAAAUAAUUUCUGAUUUGGUAUUAUAGCUCUGCAAAUUACUUCACUAAUUGUGUUCAUAGGUACUAUGGUACACUGUACACUGUUUUGUAACUUGCUUUUUAGAUGGAUUAUAUCAUAUUUUUCUGUAUCAAUAAAUAUGAAUUCAUUACAUCAGUUUAAACUGAUCAAAAACAUUUUAAUCAAAGUAAUACAAUUAAAUUGCUAAAUAUCAUAGGGAAUCGAAGAGUUUAUAAUCCCAAACCAUACUCUUUCUUUUCCUAGCCAGCUGGGGACAUUUUUAAUUGUUUCUAUUUUCAUUCUUUCUGUUUCAGUUCUUAUAAAAAUACAUAUAUAAAAUUGGCUAAAUGAUUAAAUGUUAUAGUAGUUCUUUAAUUAUAAAUUUGAAUAAUAUUUGUUGACUUCCAAACUGCAUACCCCUUGCCUUGUCCAAGUAAAACUGUACCAUCGUUUAUUCUCUGUGUUGUCAAUAAAACACUAAGUGAUA